rnacentral:lncRNA from 1 species
UCACGUAAGCAGAUGAGUGCCAAUUCCGUAUGUCUUUUCUAUUUGCAGUUCAAUGUUUUUCUUUUCUUAAUCUCCUACCUUAAUAUUUUAACUUUUAAUAUCAAUUUGGUACGAUCGACCGUCCUUAGUGUAAGUGAUAAAGGACUUAAUGAUUGUUAUCCGAGAUCCCAAAUUCGAAUCAUAAUUGAUUCGUAUUUUCAGUUAAAUUUAUUUUUUUUUAAAUUAAACGAACCGAAUUACAUGUUACCUUACUCUUAAAAAAAAAAAAAAAAAAAAAA